rnacentral:misc_RNA from 1 species
UACGAACUGUGCAAACGUUAUUCGGAUUCACUGGGCUUAAAGGGUGCGUAGGCGGCUGUUUAAGUAGGGUGUGAAAGCCCCCGGCUCAACCGGGGAAUUGCGCCCUAAACUGGACAGCUUGAGUGAGACAGGGGUGUGCGGAACUUCCGGUGGAGCGGUGAAAUGUGUUGAUAUCGGAAGGAACGCCGGUGGCGAAAGCGGCACACUGGGUCUUAACUGACGCUGAGGCACGAAAGCCAGGGGAGCGAACGGG